UUGACCUCAAAUCAGGUAGACACUCC
rnacentral:rRNA from 1 species